UGGGUCUCAGGAUGCAGUGAGUAGCUGAUGUCAUGGUUCAGCAGGCUGUCAGUGGCCUGGGACUGUCCUGCAUGACUUUUGCUUCUGCUGUGUUAUCCAGCCUCAAUUCUGCCUACUUUUUAUCCUGCAUGGCUUGGAACUGGAAUCUGUCAUCACUGGCCUCUGCUUGGUGUUUGUUUCAGGAAAGCAUCUGUGGUGUUCCUUAAGUGCAGUACUGUCAGGUGAGGACUAAGUGGAAGAAGAGCACUUCUGUCAUCACCUCUGCUGUGCGCACCAUCCAUCAGCCCCUGUGUCAGUACCUGGGAAUUUAGGCAUCCUCAGGAAGUUCAGGUUUUGUCCAAAGUGCAGCUCCCGUCUCUGUUCUAGAGCUCAUCCUCCAGAGAGCCUGCUCUUCACAGCUCCGCUUGACCCCGGGCUGUGAAGCACUUUCAACAGCACAGAGAAGCC
rnacentral:lncRNA from 1 species